rnacentral:rRNA from 1 species
GAUGAACGCUGGCGGCGUGCCUAAUACAUGCAAGUCGAGCGAACAGACGAGGCGCUUGCUCCUCUGACGUUAGCGGCGGACGGGUGAGUAACACGUGGAUAACCUACCUAUAAGACUGGGAUAACUUCGGGAAACCGGAUCUAAUACCGGAUAAUAUAUUGAACCGCAUGGUUCAAUAGUGAAAGACGGUUUUGCUGUCACUUAUAGAUGUAUCCGCGCCGCAUUAGCUAGUUGGUAAGGUAACGGCUUACCAAGGCGACGAUGCGUAGCCGACCUGAGAGGGUGAUCGGCCACACUGGAACUGAGACACGGUCCAGACUCCUACGGGAGGCAGCAGUAGGGAAUCUUCCGCAAUGGGCGAAAGCCUGACGGAGCAACGCCGCGUGAGUGAUGAAGGUCUUCGGAUCGUAAAACUCUGUUAUUAGGGAAGAACAAAUGUGUAAGUAACUAUGCACGUCUUGACGGUACCUAAUCAGAAAGCCACGGCUAACUACGUG